rnacentral:rRNA from 1 species
GACGAACGCUGGCGGCGUGCUUAACACAUGCAAGUCGAACGGAAAGGCCUGCUUUCCCUUGUGGAUUGCGGGUACUCGAGUGGCGAACGGGUGAGUAACACGUGAGUGAUCUGCCCCCAACUUGGGUAUAAGCCUGGGAAACUGGGUCUAAUUCCCGAUAGGACUGCAGGGUGGUGCCUGUGGUGGAACACGAUUUUCUAGUGGUUGGGGAUGAGCUCGCGGCCUAUCAGCUUGUUGGUGGGGUAAUGGCCUACCAAGGCGGCGACGGGUAGCCGGCCUGAGAGGGUGGACGGCCACAUUGGGACUGAGAUACGGCCCAGACUCCUACGGGAGGCAGCAGUGGGGAAUAUGGCACAAUGGGCGGAAGCCUGAUGCAGCGACGCCGCGUGGGGGAUGACGGCCUUCGGGUUGUAAACUCCUUUCGACCGCGAGGAAGCCACCUGGUUGGAAGGGUGGUGACGGUAGUGGUAGAAGAAGCACCGGCUAACUACGUG